GCCAGAGCUCGGGACUGGUGCUGACCUGCAGGAUGGAGGAGAGAAGAGAAGACUCAUCAACAGAACAAAUGUUGCUGGAACAUUACUUAUAAUGGCAACAAUUGGAAACAAUCAAAGGAUGUCACUAUAGGGACUUGGGUUAAGAAAAUUAUGACACAUCAAAAGCACAGUGAAGAGAACUUCUGUCAAUCCUGUCAAGCACAUGAAGAUGUGAAGUUUCAACUGGAUUCAUUUCUAUAAAUAAAGGCUACGAGAAGAUCUGGUUAAGAGUAUCCUAAGGGAGGAUCUAAGCCUGUUCAUACUCUACAAGCAAAGAAACAUUAAAAAACAAAACAAAAAACCAAAACUUGAAGAAACGAAGUGACCAGUUCACUACCAUUCAACUAUUAAGGGAUAGAGCCAGGACUCAGUAUCUAGUCAUGUGAUGACAAAGCCCGCACUCUUACUGUACAGCCUCACCUUGGAUAAAUCUCAUUUCAAGACAGGUAAUUUUGAGAAUAUCUUAGGCCCCCCUUCUAUCAAAGAGAGGGAUCGAAUUUAAAAUUUAUCUGGAAUGCCAACUCUGAUUAACUCCCUGGAGAGAGUCCCUGGAGGACUGGUUGAGAAGAACCCUGAGGAUGCAUCAGUGUUCAUCAGGAAAGGGCGCCAACACCCAGCGUGCCCACUCAUGAGCAGGGAGGAGAUGAUGCAUGGGAAUCCACAACUCUAU
rnacentral:lncRNA from 1 species